rnacentral:rRNA from 1 species
GUGGGGAAUUUUGGACAAUGGGGGCAACCCUGAUCCAGCAAUGCCGCGUGCAGGAAGAAGGCCUUCGGGUUGUAAACUGCUUUUGUACGGAACGAAAAGGCUCUGGUUAAUACCUGGGGCACAUGACGGUACCGUAAGAAUAAGCACCGGCUAACUACGUGCCAGCAGCCGCGGUAAUACGUAGGGUGCAAGCGUUAAUCGGAAUUACUGGGCGUAAAGCGUGCGCAGGCGGUGCUGUAAGACAGGCGUGAAAUCCCCGGGCUUAACCUGGGAAUGGCGCUUGUGACUGCAGUGCUGGAGUGUGGCAGAGGGGGAUGGAAUUCCGCGUGUAGCAGUGAAAUGCGUAGAUAUGCGGAGGAACACCGAUGGCGAAGGCAAUCCCCUGGGCCUGCACUGACGCUCAUGCACGAAAGCGUGGGGAGCAAACAGGAUUAGAUACCCCUGUAGUCC